rnacentral:lncRNA from 1 species
GACCAUGCCUGCUUUAGAGACAGAGAGCAAGAGGAAGUGAGCAAGGGAGGUCAUUCGCAAUUCUGUCACUCCUAAAUUUGUCUGAACCUUUUUGGAAGGCAUUUGUAUUUCCUGCCAGCACCACCUCUUGGGGGUGAUGAAUUCCAAUAAGUUUCAAUCCGUUUAUUACUCACUGUGAGAGAAAUUGCUUCCUUUUAUGUCUGGAACUAAACCUGGAUCACAUUUCACAGGAUAUCCCCUAGUCACAGAGUUUUGGAAUCUGACCUGGAGGCAAAGGUAUGGAUGAGAUCACAUAGCAAGGAGAUUGCUGCUGAGAAGGAGUCAAAGCCUGGGUUUUACUUGUGGCCUUGCUGCUACACCAACUUUACUGACAUGCCAUUCUGGGAUAGUCUUUUCUCUCUGAGGCUUCAAGAGAAGAUGAGAAUACAUUCCAUCCCUACCUCUUGGAGUCAUUGUGAGGACUCAGAUGAAGUGCAGCAUCACGCAACAGAACUCAGAUGCCCUCACUGCAUCUCAAAUGCACUCAGUUCCUAGAGGCUAUAGCUGUUCCACAGACCAAGGCAGUUCCACCCUUAGGGCCUUUGCUCCUGCAGUUUCUCCUUCUUGGAAGGUUUUCUCCCCCAGAUAUUAAUACGACUGUCUCCUCACUCUAUUUAUACCUCUGUUCAAAUAUCAACAUGUGGUGAACAGCUUCGAAAAUGACCCUUAACGACCUGCCCUCCUGGUAUGGAUUCCCUCCCUUCUAGUGUGAGCUGGACCUAGUGACUUACUAAUAAUGAAUAGAAUAUUUUAAAAGGGGGGAUUUCACUUCUGAGAUCUUAUAACAGAAUACCAUGACUUCAUCUUGCAUGCUCUUUCUCUCUCCCUCUGUCUUCCUCUCCCUGUCAUUCUUGCUUGUGAGUAAGCAGGCUGCCAUGCUGUGAGCUGCCCUAUGGAGAAGUCCACAUGGCAAGGAACUGAGGGAUACCUUCAGCCAACAGCCAAUGAGGAACUGAUGCUCCCAGAGAACAGCCUGUAGGAAACUAAUUCCUGCUAACAACCUUCAGAUGACUGCAGGUCUGGCUGGCAACUCAACUGAAGCCUGAGAGAGAUCCUGAAGCAGCGGGUGCAGCUAAGCCUCUGCUGGAUUCCCAUUAGACAGAAACUCAUCACCAGUUUUCCAUGAGAGCACCAAGCCUGUGAUUUCAGUAGAAGCUUAACUGCUCGUCUUUGAGGCACCAAAUCUGAAAAGCGAUCUUCCUGAAGACCAUGCUAAGGCAAGAACAUCCAUAUAAGGGAGAAUUCCUGAAAGUGUUCUAACACUUCAGUGGAAACUCAUCAAUGCUCUGUACCCAGAAUAAUCCCAUUUCGGAGGGUGCAUGGAUGGGGCAGAUGCAUGAUGUGCCCUGAGGAGCAGAGGAAACAUGGGCUUGGGUUGUGAAGGAUCUCAGAGAAGCUCUCCUGGACUGGCCCAAAUGUCUCAAACUUUAAUGUGCACAUAAAUCUAUUAAAAUGCAGCUUCCACUUCAACACAUCUGGAGUGAGACCAGGUAUUCUGCAUUUUUAACAAACUCUGGUGUAUGCUGGCGGAUGUCUGGAGUGCUGCUGGUCCAUGGACCGCAUGUUGAGUAGCAAGGCCCUGGAGGAAAUCUUGUCCAAGGUUGCAAAUUCAAAUGUCUUGGGGACCAGGUAGGCAAUGAAGAAUGACAGAGAUGGGAGUAAGACAAUUUGGAAUGGCAGAACCUGUGAGGAAAUGGAGGACAAGCAAGUCCAUUAAAGGUAUCCAAAAGCAUUGGAAGAAAG